UACGUAGGUGGCAAGCGUUGUCCGGAAUUAUUGGGCGUAAAGCGCGCGCAGGUGGUUUCUUAAGUCUGAUGUGAAAGCCCACGGCUCAACCGUGGAGGGUCAUUGGAAACUGGGGGAACUUGAGUGCAGGAGAGAAGAGUGGAAUUCCACGUGUAGCGGUGAAAUGCGUAGAGAUGUGGAGGAACACCAGUGGCGAAGGCGGCUCACUGGUCCGGUACUGACGCUGAGGUGCGAAAGCGUGGGGAGCAAACAGG
rnacentral:rRNA from 1 species